rnacentral:lncRNA from 1 species
GGGAGCCUUGAAACCCCCAAGAUCCCUCUGGGGAGCCUCAAAACCACCAAAAUCCCUAAAAGGGAGCCCCAAAACCACACAACCCCCCCCCCGGCGGCCGGACAGAGCAGCAAGACGAGGAGCAGGGGACGAAGAAAGUCAUCGAGAACCCGAAACCGAGGGGAACGGCCCCAAAACGCGGCCCCGCGGCAAUAAAUAGGGGGUCCCCGGCCCCACAAAGAGGGUCUCUGGCCCCAAAAAGGGGGUCUCCGGCCUCAAAGUGAGUGUUUUUUACCCAAAAUUGGCAGUCCCGGCCUCAAAACGGGGAGGCCCCCGGCCCCAAAAUGGGCGUCUUGGCCCCAGAAUGGGGGGUUUUGACCCCAGAAGUUUGGUGUGAGCCCCAAAACGGGGGGUUUUACCCCAAAAUGGGUGGUCUUAACCCCCAAAUGGGGGGUCUUGGCUUCAAAACGGGGUGUCUUAGGCCUAAAAUGGGGACGUUUUAGCCCCAAAAAGGGGGGUUUGGACCCCGAAAAAAGGGCUCUAACCCCAAAUAGCGGGGUCUUGUUCCCAAAUACGGGGCUCUCAGUCCCAAAAACAGGCGUUUUGUCCCCAAAAUGGGGCGCCCCCCCCCUCCUUGCCGGGACCACGGCCUGGUGUGGCCCCGCGGCCUCCGUCACCUCCAGGGCCUCCUGGGGGGGGGCUGGGGGGGGGGGNNNNNNNNNNNNNNNNNNNNNNNNNNNNNNNNNNNNNNNNNNNNNNNNNNNNNNNNNNNNNNNNNNNNNNNNNNNNNNNNNNNNNNNNNNNNNNNNNNNNGGGGGGCGAAAUUACCGGGGGGCGGUCCCGGGGGUGCCGGGGCACGGGGAGGCGGGAGCGGAACCCCCCCCCCAAUUUGUUGGCCUUGGGGAAGAGGCGGAAGAGGCCCCGCUCCGAGGCCAGGCCCAGCCCCUGCAGCACCCCAAAAACGGGCCGGGGGCCACCAGGAGGUAGAGGGGGAGGAAGAGCCAGGGGGAGGCCAGGAGGCGCGAGGCCAGGAGCAGGGCGGGGACGUGGAGGGGGGGCAGGAUUUGGGGGAAAAAACGGGGGAUUUGGGGCACCGGCAGGGGGCGGCGGGGGGCCAGGGGGGGCCUCAGACCCAGCAGGGGCCCCAAAAGGAGGAGGAGGAGGAGGAGGAGCAGGGGGAGGGGCAGGAAGGCCGGGGGGGCGAGGGCCAGCGCCAGCCCCGCCCCCAGCAGGGCCCCGCCCCCUCCCCAGCCGGCCCAGCACGGGAGGCCACGCCCACCUGCGGCGGGAGGCUCCGCCCCCAGCUCAGGCUCCGCCCCCAAGGGAGGCUCCGCCCCUGCCGGGAGGGGGGGGGGCGUCCUCCUCCUCCUCCUGUAAGAUAGAGGGGGUGGGGUUAGGGGUGGCCACGCCCACAAAUAGGCCCCACCCCCUUUAAGCCACGCCCACCUGAAGCCCCCCACGCCCUAGCCCUGCCCCCUGCUCCGCCCACCCCUCCCCACCCCCAUUGAAGCGCCCCUGGCCCCGCCCACUUAAGCCCCGCCCACGAAAGCCCCGCCCCUUUAACCCCACUCCCUGUGCCCCACCCCACCCCGUUGUCCCCGCCCCCUUGGCCCCGCCCCCUUUGACCACGCCCCCCUUGAAGCCCCUCCCCCUUAGCCCCGCCCACCUGCCGGGUGCCCCCGUGGGGCUGGGGGGGCUCCGGGAGGGGGCCGGGCUCAGGCUCCGCCCCCUCCUCCUGUGGCUCCGCCUCCUCGCGGGGCUCCUCCUCCUCCUCCUCGGGGGGCGGGGCCUGGAAAGGGCGGGGCCAGUGGGGGUGAGAAAUGGGGGCGGAGCCUCAGCCCCAUAGACGUGGGGCAGGGACCCCCCAGUGCCCCAUAGAUGUGGGGCAGAGCCCCCCAAGUGCCCCCUGACUUACGUCCUGGGCCUCGCUGCCGGAGCCGUCGGGGGGCGGGCAGGAGCCUUCCUCGCCCCCUUCCUCACCCCCCUCCUCUUCCUCCUCCUCCUCCUCUUCCUCGUCCUCUGGCCCCGAGGCGUUGGUGGCACUGGUGGCACUGGUGGCACUGAUGGUGCUGCUGCUGCGGCUGGCCAGGCUGCCAUCCCCCGGAGACUCCUGGGGACACUGGGGUGAGGGGGGGGGGUACUGGGAGGGGACUGGGAGCAUUGGGAGGUGCUGGGAGGGGACUGGGAGCACUGGGAGGGGACUGGGGGGCACUGGGGGGGUACUGGGAGGGAACUGGGAGGCACUGGAGAGCACUGGGAGGCAUCGUAGGGAGUCUGUGGGGUGUUAUAGGGGGGCUGUGGGGCACUGUGGGGGGUUAUGGGGUCUUUAUGGGGUCUCUGGGGGUCCCUAUGGGGUCUGUGGGGUCCCUGGGGUCUCACCUG